rnacentral:rRNA from 1 species
CCCUUAGAUGUUCUGGGCCGCACGCGUGCUACACUGAACGGUUCAAUGGGUAAGGUAGUGCGAAAGCAUGACCUAAUCUCGAAAUCCGUUCGUGCUGGGGAUAGAAGCUUGCAAUUAUCCUUCUUGAACGAGGAAUACCUUGUAAGCGUGAGUCAUCAUCUCACGCUGAAUACGUCCCUGCCCUUUGUACACACCGCCCGUCGCUCCUACCGAUUGAGUGUUACGGUGAGGCUUUGGGAGAAUGGCCUCAACAUGAGUUUAUCGUGUUUUGCCGUUUGAACUUAGUCAAACCUUAUCACUUAGAGGAAGGAGAAGUCGUAACA